rnacentral:lncRNA from 1 species
UUUACAUUUACAUCGUAGAUAAAAGUUGGUUGCAACACAUGGCAUUUGCUAUCCCACUGUAAGUUAAAACUAGUUGUAAAAUUAAAAAAUUUAUAUUGGAACUUCUAUUUCGUUUAACAUUCAUGUUUAUUUAAUUGAGUUACACCUAAGGUUAUAUAUGAGUUAUUUAUACUAUCUUAGAAUUUGCUGCUUUAGAGGCACGGCAUUUAGUGUCACAUUGUAGAAUUUACUGUUUUAGACACAUAGCAUGUGGUAUCCCACUAAUUAGCUAUUUUAAACAUGUGACAAGUGGUAUGACACUGUAUUGAUGUAUGUGAAAUGUAUAGAAUCUUUCAGUUAUCAGAUAAUGUCAAGAAGUUGACAGCAUGGUGUCCGAUUUAAAGUGCGAACCUGUGUACGAGUAAUAACAGUAUUCAAAACCAAAACCUAUUUAAACCAACCAAACCAAAACUAGCGACCAAAAACUAAUAUCUUGGCAUUAGUUUAUUUUAAACAUCUAUUAUAUAUGUGUGUG